AUAUAUAUAUAUAUAUAUAUAUAUAUACACACACACACACAUACAUAUGUGCGCAUAUAUAUAUAUGUGUGUGUGUGU